rnacentral:rRNA from 1 species
GACGAACGCUGGCGGCGUGCCUAAUACAUGCAAGUCGAACGGACAGGCCCUGCUUUUGUGGGGUGCUCGAUUGGCGAACGGGUGAGUAACACGUGAGUAACCUGCCCUUGACUUUGUGAUAACUUCAGGAAACUCGGGAUAAUACCGGAUAGGAGCUCCUGCAGCAUGGGGUGGGUUGGAAAGUUUCGGCGUUUGGGGAUGGUCUCGCGGGUUAUCAGCUUGUUGGUGGAGUAGUGGCUUACCAAGGCUUUGACGGAUAGCCGGCCUGGGAGGUGGACCGGCCACCUGAGGCCUGAGAGACGGCCCAGACUCCUACGGGAGGCAACAGUGGGGAAUAUUGCAGAAUGGGCGGGAGCCAGAUGUAGCAGCCCCGCGUUCGGGAUGACGGCCUUCGGGUUGAAAACAGCUGUCGCCUGUGACGAAGAGUGAGUGACGGUAAUGGGUAAAGAAGCAACGGCUAACUACGUG